rnacentral:lncRNA from 1 species
GCCCACCUAAAAGGACAAGCAUUUACAAGGAGAAGACAGGUAUUCCCAACCCAGGGAACAAUGCUUACAGAAAGCCACACACAACACGAUGUAGCAAGGGAAAUUACAUGUGUGACCAAGGCCGGAUGGGGACACAGGAGAGCAGAAGCAAAGGUGCACAGGGAAUGUGACAGCCUGGAUUCUGACCAAGUAUGCCACAAUACCUGAAAUCAUAGAUGAAAAAGAAAAAGGAUGAAGAAAGCAAAGCAUGUCACACAGCUUGUCAGGAUGGUGGCAAAAGAUACAGCUAAAGUGGGGUCAUGCAACGUAUCACCGAGUAAGAAAUAAAAUCUAUUUUCUGGCAGCUUCAAGUUUUUAAAGACAUUUUCUAUUAUUGAAGUGUAACAUUUUGUACCUUUAUUAUUCGUCUCACUAGAAGCAGGCCAAAGUAGAACUAACUCAUCUUCAGAUUAUUUUCCUUCUAUCUAUCUAAAAUCUUUUUUUC